GACGAACGCUGGCGGCGUGCUUAACACAUGCAAGUCGAACGGAAAGGCCUCUUUCGGGGGGUACUCGAGUGGCGAACGGGUGAGUAACACGUGAGUAACCUGCCCUUGACUUUGGGAUAACUUCAGGAAACUGGGGCUAAUACCGGAUAGGAGCUCCUGCUGCAUGGUGGGGGUUGGAAAGUUUCGGCGGUUGGGGAUGGACUCGCGGCUUAUCAGCUUGUUGGUGGGGUAGUGGCUUACCAAGGCUUUGACGGGUAGCCGGCCUGAGAGGGUGACCGGCCACAUUGGGACUGAGAUACGGCCCAGACCCCUACGGGAGGCAGCAGUGGGGAAUAUUGCACAAUGGGUGGAAGCCUGAUGCAGCAACGCCGUGUGCGGGAGGACGGCCUUCGGGUUGUAAACCGCUUUCGCUCAUGACGAAGCUUUGUGUGACGGUAGUGGGUAAAGAAGCACCGGCUAACUACGUG
rnacentral:rRNA from 1 species